rnacentral:rRNA from 1 species
GACGAACGCUGGCGGCGUGCCUAAUACAUGCAAGUCGAGCGAAGUUUUUCUGGUGCUUGCACCGGAAAACUUAGCGGCGAACGGGUGAGUAACACGUAAAGAACCUGCCUCAUAGACUGGGACAACUAUUGGAAACGAUAGCUAAUACCGGAUAACAGCAUUAACUGCAUGGUUGAUGUUUAAAAGUUGGUUUUGCUAACACUAUGAGAUGGCUUUGCGGUGCAUUAGCUAGUUGGUGGGGUAAAGGCCUACCAAGGCGACGAUGCAUAGCCGACCUGAGAGGGUGAUCGGCCACACUGGGACUGAGACACGGCCCAGACUCCUACGGGAGGCAGCAGUAGGGAAUCUUCCGCAAUGGGCGAAAGCCUGACGGAGCAACGCCGCGUGAGUGAAGAAGGAUUUCGGUUCGUAAAGCUCUGUUGUUAGGGAAGAAUGAUUGUGUAGUAACUAUACACAG